rnacentral:rRNA from 1 species
GACGAACGCUGGCGGCGUGCUUAACACAUGCAAGUCGAACGGAAAGGCCCUGCUUUUGUGGGGUGCUCGAGUGGCGAACGGGUGAGUAACACGUGAGUAACCUGCCCUUGACUUUGGGAUAACUUCAGGAAACUGGGGCUAAUACCGGAUAGGAGCUCCUGCUGCAUGGUGGGGGUUGGAAAGUUUCGGCGGUUGGGGCUGGACUCGCGGCUUAUCAGCUUGUUGGUGGGGUAGUGGCUUACCAAGGCUUUGACGGGUAGCCGGCCUGAGAGGGUGACCGGCCACAUUGGGACUGAGAUACGGCCCAGACUCCUACGGGAGGCAGCAGUGGGGAAUAUUGCACAAUGGGAGGAAGCCUGAUGCAGAAACGCCGCGUGCGGGAUGACGGCCUUCGGGUUGUAAACCGCUUUCGCCUGUGACGAAGCGUGAGUGACGGUAAUGGGUAAAGAAGCACCGGCUAACUACGUG